rnacentral:rRNA from 1 species
UCGAGGGGCAGCAUGGUCUUAGCUUGCUAAGGCCGAUGGCGACCGGCGCACGGGUGAGUAACACGUAUCCAACCUGCCGUCUACUCUUGGACAGCCUUCUGAAAGGAAGAUUAAUACAAGAUGGCAUCAUGAGUCCGCAUGUUCACAUGAUUAAAGGUAUUCCGGUAGACGAUGGGGAUGCGUUCCAUUAGAUAGUAGGCGGGGUAACGGCCCACCUAGUCUUCGAUGGAUAGGGGUUCUGAGAGGAAGGUCCCCCACAUUGGAACUGAGACACGGUCCAAACUCCUACGGGAGGCAGCAGUGAGGAAUAUUGGUCAAUGGGCGAGAGCCUGAACCAGCCAAGUAGCGUGAAGGAUGACUGCCCUAUGGGUUGUAAACUUCUUUUAUAAAGGAAUAAAGUCGGGUAUGCAUACCCGUUUGCAUGUACUUUAUGAAUAAGGAUCGGCUAACUCCGUGCCAGCAGCCGCGGUAAUACGGAGGAUCCGAGCGUUAUCCGGAUUUAUUGGGUUUAAAGGGAGCGUAGAUGGAUGUUUAAGUCAGUUGUGAAAGUUUGCGGCUCAACCGUAAAAUUGCAGUUGAUACUGGAUAUCUUGAGUGCAGUUGAGGCAGGCGGAAUUCGUGGUGUAGCGGUGAAAUGCUUAGAUAUCACGAAGAACUCCGAUUGCGAAGGCAGCCU